rnacentral:lncRNA from 1 species
UUUUUUUUUUUUUAAUGCAUCUACUGACCUUCUGAUCUUCUUCAUGUGCAGUGAAGAGAUUUUCUUCACUUCUGACCAUCGGAGGCGCCAGCACUCCGGGCACCACCCCGCAGCCCUCCGCAGCCAUCCCGGCCAGCUCGGCUCCGGUUCCACCGCUCCAGCCAGCUCCUGCCCAGUCCUCUAAGCCCGUAGAGGCUGAAAAAAAGAAGAAGAAGAAAACGACCGCCAAGAGAGCCAGGGUGGAGACGACCUCGUCCCCAGCUCAGGAAGAGAGGCCGACGCCUGAGCCCGGUCAGGACGUCCACUACGGUGUGAACACCGCCGAGGAGCAAGCCCGGGCCGGAGCUCCUCCUAACCUGUGGCAACACCGGAGCUCUACCCUGCUGUUCGACCCGCAGACGCGGUUGGUCACGCACCAACAUCCAAUGCACUUCUGUCCCC